CAGAGGGGGCAAGCGUUGUUCGGAAUUACUGGGCGUAAAGGGCGCGUAGGCGGCCUGCUAAGUCGAACGUGAAAUCCCCGGGCUCAACCCGGGAACUGCGUCCGAUACUGGCAGGCUUGAAUCCGGGAGAGGGAUGUGGAAUUCCAGGUGUAGCGGUGAAAUGCGUAGAUAUCUGGAGGAACACCGGUGGCGAAGGCGGCAUCCUGGACCGGUAUUGACGCUGAUGCGCGAAAGCCAGGGGAGCAAACGGGAUUAGAUACCCCGGUAGUCCUGGCCCUAAACGAUGAAUGCUUGGUGUGGCGGGUAUCGAUCCCCGCCGUGCCGAAGCUAACGCAUUAAGCAUUCCGCCUGGGGAGUACGGUCGCAAGGCUG
rnacentral:rRNA from 1 species